AGAACGAACGCUGGCGGCAUGCCUAAUACAUGCAAGUCGAACGAACUCUUCGGAGUUAGUGGCGCACGGGUGCGUAACGCGUGGGAAUCUGCCCCUUGGUUCGGAAUAACAGUUGGAAACGACUGCUAAUACCGGAUGAUGACGAAGGUCCAAAGAUUUAUCGCCAAGGGAUGAGCCCGCGUAGGAUUAGCUAGUUGGUGAGGUAAAGGCUCACCAAGGCAACGAUCCUUAGCUGGUCUGAGAGGAUGAUCAGCCACACUGGGACUGAGACACGGCCCAGACUCCUACGGGAGGCAGCAGUAGGGAAUAUUGGACAAGUGGGACGAAAGCCUGAUCCAGCAAUGCCGCGUGAGUGAUGAAGGCCUUAGGGUUGUAAAGUCUCUUUACCGAGAUAGAAUAAUGACAGUAGUCGGAGAAAGUAACGCCCCGGACUAACGUCCCGCGACCCGAGCCACGGACCGAC
rnacentral:rRNA from 1 species